UACGGAGGGUGCAAGCGUUGCUCGGAAUUAUUGGGCGUAAAGGGCAAGUAGGUGGUCUCAUUUGUCUGGGGUGAAAGCCUUGAGCUUAACUCAAGAAGUGCCCUAGAAACGGUGAGACUCGAGUCCUGGAGAGGUAAGUGGAAUUCCCGGUGUAGCGGUGAAAUGCGUAGAGAUCGGGAGGAACACCUGAGGCGAAAGCGGCUUACUGGACAGGAACUGACACUCAAUUGCGAAAGCGUGGGGAGCAAACAGG
rnacentral:rRNA from 1 species